rnacentral:rRNA from 1 species
CAUGCAAGUCGCACGGGACUAUUUGAGUAGCAAUACAAGAAUAGUUUAGUGGCGCACGGGUGAGUAACACGUGAAUUACAUGCCCUGCAGAGGGGGAUAGCCCAGGGAAACUUGGAUUAAUACCCCAUGGUCCCAGCACUUUUUAAAGGUUCCGAGGUCCGGCAGGACGGCGGAGUUUUCAAAAAGUGCUGGGUAAAGGUGGCCGCAAGGCUGUCGCUGCAGGAUUGGUUCGCGCCCUAUCAGCUUGUUGGUGAGGUAACGGCUCACCAAGGCUACGACGGGUACCUGGUCUGAGAGGACGAUCAGGCACACUGGAACUGAGACACGGUCCAGACACCUACGGGUGGCAGCAGUCGAGAAUAAUUCACAAUGGGGGCAACCCUGAUGGUGCAACGCCGCGUGGAGGAUGAAGGUCUUCGGAUUGUAAACUCCUGUCAUCCGGGAGUAAGACCUGG